rnacentral:rRNA from 1 species
AAUGGGCGCAAGCCUGAUCCAGCCAUGCCGCGUGAGUGAUGAAGGCCUUAGGGUCGUAAAGCUCUUUCGCCAGGGAUGAUAAUGACAGUACCUGGUAAAGAAACCCCGGCUAACUCCGUGCCAGCAGCCGCGGUAAUACGGAGGGGGUUAGCGUUGUUCGGAAUUACUGGGCGUAAAGCGCACGUAGGCGGUCUAUUAAGUCAGAGGUGAAAUCCCGGGGCUCAACCCCGGAACUGCCUCCAAUACUGGUAGUCUAGAGUUCGAGAGAGGUGAGUGGAAUUCCGAGUGUAGAGGUGAAAUUCGUAGAUAUUCGGAGGAACACCAGUGGCGAAGGCGGCUCACUGGCUCGAUACUGACGCUGAGGUGCGAAAGUGUGGGGAGCAAACAGGAUU